UAGGGAAUCUUCCACAAUGGACGCAAGUCUGAUGGAGCAACGCCGCGUGAGUGAAGAAGGUCUUCGGAUCGUAAAACUCUGUUGUUAGAGAAGAACACGAGUGAGAGUAACUGUUCAUUCGAUGACGGUAUCUAACCAGCAAGUCACGGCUAACUACGUGCCAGCAGCCGCGGUAAUACGUAGGUGGCAAGCGUUGUCCGGAUUUAUUGGGCGUAAAGGGAACGCAGGCGGUCUUUUAAGUCUGAUGUGAAAGCCUUCGGCUUAACCGGAGUAGUGCAUUGGAAACUGGAAGACUUGAGUGCAGAAGAGGAGAGUGGAACUCCAUGUGUAGCGGUGAAAUGCGUAGAUAUAUGGAAGAACACCAGUGGCGAAAGCGGCUCUCUGGUCUGUAACUGACGCUGAGGUUCGAAAGCGUGGGUAGCAAACAGGAUUAGAUACCCUGGUAGUCCACGCCGUAAACGAUGAAUGCUAGGUGUUGGAGGGUUUCCGCCCCUCAGUGCCGCAGCUAACGCAAUAAGCAUUCCGCCUGGGGAGUACGACCGCAAGGUUG
rnacentral:rRNA from 1 species